rnacentral:rRNA from 1 species
AGAGUUUGAUCCUCGGCUCAGAUUGAACUCUGGCGGCAGGCCUAACACAUGCAAGUCGAACGGUAACAGGAAGCAGCUUGCUGCUUCGCUGACGAGUGGCGGACGGGUGAGUAAUGUCUGGGAAACUGCCUGAUGGAGGGGGAUAACUACUGGAAACGGUAGCUAAUACCGCAUAACGUCGCAAGACCAAAGAGGGGGACCUUCGGGCCUCUUGCCAUCGGAUGUGCCCAGAUGGGAUUAGCUUGUUGGUGGGGUAACGGCUCACCAAGGCGACGAUCCCUAGCUGGUCUGAGAGGAUGACCAGCCACACUGGAACUGAGACACGGUCCAGACUCCUACGGGAGGCAGCAGUGGGGAAUAUUGCACAAUGGGCGCAAGCCUGAUGCAGCCAUGCCGCGUGUAUGAAGAAGGCCUUCGGGUUGUAAAGUACUUUCAGCGGGGAGGAAGGGAGUAAAGUUAAUACCUUUGCUCAUUGACGUUACCCGCAGAAGAAGCACCGGCUAACUCCGUGCCAGCAGCCGCGGUAAUACGGAGGGUGCAAGCGUUAAUCGGAAUUACUGGGCGUAAAGCGCACGCAGGCGGUUUGUUAAGUCAGAUGUGAAAUCCCCGGGCUCAACCUGGGAACUGCAUCUGAUACUGGCAAGCCUUGAGUCUCGUAGAGGGGGGUAGAAUUCCAGGUGUAGCGGUGAAAUGCGUAGAGAUCUGGAGGAAUACCGGUGGCGAAGGCGGCCCCCUGGACGAAGACUGACGCUCAGGUGCGAAAGCGUGGGGAGCAAACAGGAUUAGAUACCCUGGUAGUCCACGCCGUAAACGAUGUCGACUUGGAGGUUGUGCCCUUGAGGCGUGGCUUCCGGAGCUAACGCGUUAAGUCGACCGCCUGGGGAGUACGGCCGCAAGGUUAAAACUCAAAUGAAUUGACGGGGGCCCGCACAAGCGGUGGAGCAUGUGGUUUAAUUCGAUGCAACGCGAAGAACCUUACCUGGUCUUGACAUCCACGGAAGUUUUCAGAGAUGAGAAUGUGCCUUCGGGAACCGUGAGACAGGUGCUGCAUGGCUGUCGUCAGCUCGUGUUGUGAAAUGUUGGGUUAAGUCCCGCAACGAGCGCAACCCUUAUUGUUAGUUGGUACCAUUAAGUUGACCACUCUAGCGAGACUGCCCGGGUUAACCGGGAGGAAGGUGGGGAUGACGUCAAAUCAUCAUGCCCCUUAUGUCUAGGGCUACACACGUGCUACAAUGGCAAGUACAAAGAGAAGCAAUACUGUGAAGUGGAGCAAAACUCAAAAACUUGUCCCAGUUCGGAUUGAAGGCUGAAACUCGCCUUCAUGAAGCCGGAGUUGCUAGUAAUCGCGAAUCAGAAUGUCGCGGUGAAUACGUUCCCGGGUCUUGCACACACCGCCCGUCA